rnacentral:rRNA from 1 species
AGAGUUUGAUCCUGGCUCAGGACGAACGCUGGCGGCGUGCCUAAUACAUGCAAGUCGAACCACUGACGGAGAACUUGUUCUCUUGACGUGAGUGGCGCACGGGUGAGUAACACGUGGGAACCUACCCUUCAGCGGGGGAUAACCAUCGGAAACGAUGACUAAUACCGCAUAGACGACAGACCGCCUGGUUCAAUCGGGAAAGACGGCUUCGGCUGUCACUGAAGGAUGGUCCCGCGCUGCUUAGCUAGUUGGUAAGGUAACGGCUUACCAAGGCGAUGAUGCAUAGCCGACCUGAGAGGGGAUCGGCCACAUUGGGACUGAGACACGGCCCAAACUCCUACGGGAGGCAGCAGUAGGGAACUUCCGCAAUGGACGCAAGUCUGACGGAGCAACGCCGCGUGUGUGAAGAAGGUUUUCGGACGUAAAGCACUGUUAUUAGAGAAGAACAGCCGAUAGAGUAACUGUUAUCGGUUUGACGGUUCUAACCAGAAAGUGACGGCUAACUACGUGCCAGCAGCCGCGGUAAUACGUAGGUCACAACGUUGUCCGGAUUUAUUGGGCGUAAAGGGAGCGCAGGCGGUUUGUUAAGUCUGAUGUGAAGCCCACGGCUCAACCGUGGAACGGCAUUUGGAAACUGGCAAACUUGAGUAUAGAAGAGGAAGUGGAAUUCCAUGUGUAGCGGUGAAAUGCGUAGAUAUAUGGAGGAACACCAGUGGCGAAGGCGACUUUCUGGUCUAUAACUGACGCUGAGGCUCGAAAGCGUGGGGAGCGAACAGGAUUGAUACCCUGGUAGUCCACGCCGUAAACGAUGA